rnacentral:rRNA from 1 species
UACAGAGGUCCCAAGCGUUGUUCGGAUUCACUGGGCGUAAAGGGUGCGUAGGCGGUCGGGUAAGUCUGAUGUGAAAUCUUCAAGCUUAACUUGGAAACUGCGUCGGAUACUAUUCGGCUAGAGGAAUGGAGGGGAGACUGGAAUACUUGGUGUAGCAGUGAAAUGCGUAGAUAUCAAGUGGAACACCAGUGGCGAAGGCGAGUCUCUGGACAUUUCCUGACGCUGAGGCACGAAAGCCAGGGGAGCAAACGGG